CUAUUUUGAGGGGAAUGUUGUCUGGCUCGAGGACACUUACCUUAACUUUGAUCCGUUUCUCUAGAUCCAUAUCACCUAUAUAUAUGUAUUAUUGUAUUUUUAUUUGUACUGAGCAUGUGUUGGUGUCGUCGGACCAGGCUUCAUUCCCCCCAAUUAUCGC
rnacentral:pre_miRNA from 1 species